rnacentral:rRNA from 1 species
AUUGAACGCUGGCGGCAUGCUUUACACAUGCAAGUCGAACGGCAGCGCGGGCUUCGGCCUGGCGGCGAGUGGCGAACGGGUGAGUAAUGCAUCGGAACGUGCCCAGUAGUGGGGGAUAGCCCGGCGAAAGCCGGAUUAAUACCGCAUACGACCUGAGGGUGAAAGCGGGGGACCGAAAGGCCUCGCGCUAUUGGAGCGGCCGAUGUCGGAUUAGCUAGUUGGUGGGGUAAAGGCUUACCAAGGCGACGAUCCGUAGCUGGUCUGAGAGGAAGACCAGCCACACUGGGACUGAGACACGGCCCAGACUCCUACGGGAGGCAGCAGUGGGGAAUUUUGGACAAAGGGGGCAACCCUGAUCCAGCCAUGCCGCGUGCGGGAAGAAGGCCUUCGGGUUGUAAACCGCUUUUGUUCGGGAAGAAAUCCUCUGGGCUAAUACCCCGGGGGGAUGACGGUACCGGAAGAAUAAGCACCGGCUAACUACGUG